GACUGUGUAGCUCCUGGGGCCUCAAACUAAAUACUCUUCUUUCCUCAGCCUCCUCAGUGCUGGGAUGGCAUGACUCUGGGUGGUGACAGCUGGCAGUGUCUCUCAGCUAGCCUCUAGUCGGUACCAUCUUUCAGGAGCUGGUUUGCGGAGUUCAGUGGACUUGGUGCUCAUUAUUGGAUUGUCUCCUGACAGCCCAGAAUACUCCCCCAGACUCUCCUCCUGAACUGUGAGAAUUCUGUUUUGCAUCCUCAAGGGCCUUCCCGGAUCAGGAGGUGAUUGGAGGAGUCAUUUGGACAUGUACUCUACCAUGGAGGGUUACUUUAGGAUUUUCAGCAUUGGAGAAUGAGGCACCACUUUUGACUACGAGCCUAGGUUGCUGUCUGCUGCUUUCUGGGGUGCUUGAGAUCUUCUCCGUGCUUUGACAGCGAGGUUCCAGGAGGAAGCUGAAUCCUAACCCAUGACACUUUGAAGACAGAUACUUUUUGGCGCCGUGGACAGGUGCCUCCCAUUGGCCAAACACAGCCAGGAGUCAGGAAGCCACAGGGGCCUCAGCAGGGCAGUUACAAGGACAGCAUCCAGGGGCAGCCAGAGGAACAACAUGGCCACAAACCGGUCAGCAGUCAGACUGAGCACACUUGCCUGAGACUGUCGGCGCCUCCAUGGGCUCAUCACUGAAGCUGGAGAGUUUAAAGAAACCAAGGCAGAAAAUGACCCCUCUGUUCGUCAAUUUGUCACAAACACAGUCAAAGCGGGUCACGUCCAUUUCUGAAGCAGCUAUCGGAGACGGCAGAGGUCGGUUCUGGCCUGCAGUGCUGGGAGCACCCAGCUCUCAUUAGGGUCCAGAGUGGAGCCCCAGAAAGCCCAGCUAGCUCACCCACAGCAGUCCAGGGAUGUGAUAUUGUCUAUGCUGCCGGGACAUUGAGAAUCCUCUAAAACCAGGAGGAAGGAGAGGCAAGCUUUCCGGCUGGCGCCCAGUCCGUCCGCCUCUCAUUAAGGCUCCUUGCUCAGUGUGUUCUGUGAUGUGAACUUGUGAACUCCACACUGCCUACUUUACCAUCACUGUGAAACCAGCACUUCAAGCUAUCAAGGACCCAAUGGCAACCAGCUCUCAGGAGGCAGGAACAAAGGCGCCCGCCAUUGUCCUCAGGUCUCCUUGUCGCUUUCUGUGGCUCAUGGAUGGUGGCGUUUCAAGGAAUAGGAAUUGGACUAUGGGAUGCAUUCUUACCCAUCCUCGAGCUCCAUGCAUCAUGUGUGAAGAGAACCCUUGUGGUUUCUGAGAUGAAUUCCGAGCACUUAGUAACAGGGGACUGGUUUUCACAAAUCAGUUAUGCUUUGAGCCGGUCGGAAAACCCUCAAGAUUACGGUGGUGAACAGAGUCAAUACAGGCGAUUAGGGACAGAGCGAAACAGGAGGAAGCAUGAGAAGGAUUCCAGCUUAGGAGAGCUCUGAGGACAUGUCUACCAUGAUGGGAUGCAAGAUGGGGAGGACAUGUCCCCCUAGACCUUUGGUUUGUUCUGGCUUGUGUGACUCAGUCCUGGCCAUGGUCUCUAGACUCCAUCUCUGUCUUUCUGAUUCAGCCAUGGGAAUUAACUUGGUGUAGGUAUCAUCACAAGACCUACUGCUAAAGACUUCUAAAUCUAGGACAGGGGCCAUCCAACCAGGUCCAAAGGCCAGAUUCAGCCUACUGCCAAUUUUUGUAAAUAAAAAUUUACUAGAACACA